rnacentral:tRNA from 1 species
AGGAUGCUAGCUCAAUGGAAGAGCACUUGACUUACAAGUAGGAUAUUGUUGGUUUGAUGCCAUAGCAACUUG